rnacentral:rRNA from 1 species
UACGGAGGGUGCGAGCGUUGCUCGGAAUCACUGGGCGUAAAGCGUACGCAGGCGGACCGUUAAGUCGGGUGUGAAAGCCCGGGGCUCAACCCCGGAAAUGCAUUCGAAACUGGCGGUCUUGAGUACGGGAGAGGGAGGUGGAAUUCCUGGUGUAGAGGUGAAAUUCGUAGAUAUCAGGAGGAACACCGGUGGCGAAAGCGGCCUCCUGGCCCGAUACUGACGCUCAUGUACGAGAGCGUGGGGAGCAAACAGG